GUCCGUCAGACAGGAUUCACCUGACCCCGAAUUUGCCUCAUUUCAUGGAUGAAGAUUCAUUUUGUGGUCAAGUCCGUAUCGCGGAUUCGUUAAGCUUAAGGAUAACUAUCUGUUGUUAUGAUUGUAAGGUGAACAUUUUCGACUUCAGCAAGGUUUCAAAUAACAUCUAACUCAUUAUCAUGCAUCAUGUUCGUUUUAUGUUGUUUAGCCUUUUGGAUAUAUACCUGUAUGUUAUAGCGCCAAGUUAUUUCGUGUAUGGUGUACAUGUCUGUCUGCAUGUUUCAUAUAUGACCAUGAUGACUUCAAUUGUUUUUGAUAUAUUGCAUGAUAGUAAGAUGUCUAUGUCUGGCUGUCGGUCAGGGUUCAUAUACUUUUGACCUUAUGUUCCGAAUUAAUUGGCCAAGCAUAACUUUUACAUUUGUCAGUUUCUAAGGCACUGUAAGAAUCGGAACACAUUUAUUUGGUGUACAGGAUAUUUGUAGAGAUCUGUAUGACAUAGUAUUCUUACCUUGAACUCUUUUUAUGAACCAUUGACAAUCUUAAGUGCAUUUGACACUUCUAGUAAAACCCUUGAUAUUAUAGACGUUCAACAAAUAUACUAUCAUAAGUAAAGCAGACGAGACAUUACAGCAUUUGCGCUCUG
rnacentral:lncRNA from 1 species